CACGUAGGGCGCAAGCGUUGUCCGGAAUUAUUGGGCGUAAAGAGCUCGUAGGCGGCCUGUUGCGUCCGCUGUGAAAACUCGGGGCUUAACCCCGAGCCUGCAGUGGAUACGGGCAGGCUAGAGGUAGGUAGGGGAGAAUGGAAUUCCCGGUGUAGCGGUGAAAUGCGCAGAUAUCGGGAGGAACACCGGUGGCGAAGGCGGUUCUCUGGGCCUUACCUGACGCUGAGGAGCGAAAGCGUGGGGAGCGAACAGG
rnacentral:rRNA from 1 species